AAGUCUAUGGUUUGACGCGUGCGCAAUCUGCUGUCGGUCGCGAGCGGAAAUAUUAGUUAAUUUAAACUUGUCACGACGCCGUAUUAUACGUGCGAUAAACUUUCAGCGACAUGUUUCAAGUGUGAGUGAUUUGUGUGUGCGGUAAAUUGAAGUUUCUGCGGGUAAAAUUCGACUUUAAUCAACUCGGUGCCAGGACGCAGCAGCGGGGUCACCUUAAAGGAUGUUUUCAAACACGGUUGUCGACACACGUCGCGCGGACUUGCCUCAUUCCUGCUGUACAAUCGCGAAUAUUCAUCCCAAAGCAGCCACGUGAACGUGAAGUGAAAUAGUGGUAAUAGAGACAAACCUGGAGAAUCGUGAUAAUGCCCGUUCAUCUUUGCCGGGGAAUCAGUCGCCAGCUGCGACGCAGUCACGCUUCGAGUUUGCAGGGUUCCAGUCUUCGAGGGUGAUGCUGCGUU